AGCUCAGCUGUUUCCCCCAGGUGAUCCCAGCUCAGGUGAUCCCAGGACAGGUGAUCCCAGCUCAGGUGUUCCCAGCUCAGGUGAUCCCAGGACAGGUGAUCCCAGCUCAGGUGAUCCCAGCUCAGGUGAUCCCAGGACAGGUGAUCCCAGCUCAGGUGAUCCCAGCUCAGGUGAUCCCAGGACAGGUGAUCCCAGCUCAGGUGAUCCCAGCUCAG